rnacentral:rRNA from 1 species
CGCAGCCUGAUCAGCAUGCCGCGUGCGUGAUGAAGGCCUUCGGGUUGUAAACCUCUUUUUUAGGAAUGAAACUGACCGUACCAGUACAAUAAGCUCCGGCUAACUCCGUGCCAACAACCGCGGGAAAACGGCGGGACCUAGCGUUGUUCGGAAUUACUGGGGGUAAAGCGCAUCUAAGUGGCUUUUUAAGUCGGGGGUGAAAUCCCGGGGCUCAACCCCGGAACUGCCCUUGAAACUGGAAAGGUAAAAGCUUGUAGAGGCUGCUGGGAUUCCGAGUGUAAAAGGGAAAUUCAAUUAUAUUCGGAAGAACACCAUGGGUAAAUGUGACUCGGAGGACCAAUAUUGACGCUAAUGUCCUAAACCUGGGGGAACAAACAGGAUUAAAUACCCGGGGAGCCCACGCCAUAAACUACGAUGACUAUCUGUCCCGUUUCAUGGAACUUGGGUGGGUUGGCUAACUUCUUACUUUAUCCCCCUGGGGAGUACGGUCGUUGAAUUAAAGCUCAAUGAAAUUUGACGGAUUG